rnacentral:rRNA from 1 species
GCGACCCCCGGAUGGGCGAGGCCA